rnacentral:misc_RNA from 1 species
GAUGAAAUUAUAGAUGCGAAAAAUGGCGUCCGAUAAGAAAAAAGCACCUGAAAAUCUACAGGCUUCCAGUAAAGACAGGGACCCGGAGUCUAACCAAACCGAGCCGGACUCUCCGUUCAUCAAACCGUCCGAGCUGAAGCCGGAAACUAAAGAAAUUUCGCUUUCGCGGAUACAGAAAAUAUUUGCACCGAUACUCGUAAAGAAUUACAGCCUGAGCGAUGAAUCUGGGCCCUGCUCCAGGUUCGGCUACUCCUUGUUGUGUCCUCCACACGGUCGGGUUGGAACCCUGAUCACCUGGAUCCUUGCUGUUUUCCUGGUCUGGGGAACAGCUGUAGCUGUUCUAGGACCGAUUGCUCUGCCUGGGAAUUCUCCAAUUCAGUUCGAGGUUAGCGGAGGAACUGUUUUUUCUUUGAUAGCUCUUGUUUCAUCCGCAUAUGUAGGAGGAUGGAUCGUUUCUCUGGUUAAGCUUCCUCCCCUCCUAGGCAUGCUAGUUGUAGGAAUUGUGUUGAAAAAUGUUCCUUAUAUUGAUGUUGGACGUGGGUUGGAUCCUAGCUGGUCAGCUGCUCUAAGAUCUACCGCCCUAGCGGUCAUACUGCUCAGGGCAGGACUAGGCCUGGAUCCUAGAGCCUUGAAGCAACUCUCAGCAAUGGUUUUCAGGUUGGCGUUUUUCCCUUGUCUGGUUGAAGCAACUGUGGUGGCUAUCUCUAGUCAUCUUCUCCUUGGGUUCCCCUGGCUCUGGGGAUUCAUGCUCGGGUUCAUCCUAGCUGCAGUAUCUCCUGCAGUUGUUGUGCCAUGUCUUCUCUCCCUUCAGGAACGAGGGUUCGGAGUAGAGAAGGGAAUACCUACACUAGUAAUAGCAGCGGCUAGUGUUGAUGAUGUACUCGCGAUAUCUGUGUUCACAAUCCUACUUGGAGUAACCUUUAAUACAAACCAGGAUAAUCUCUACCAGCUGAUCCUCCAGGGUCCUUUAGAGGCCAUAGUCGGGGUCCUGGGAGGAUUUAUCUGGGGAGUUCUAGUCAUCUUUCUGCCUCCUUCGCCACAUCCCAAUGUGUUGUUAAGAGUUGUGCUGUUGUUUGGUGGGAGCUUGUUUGCUCUCUUUGGGAGCGCAAUGGCGGGGUUUCCUGGAGCGGGAGCCUUGGGGGUUCUAGUUCUAGCAUUUGUCGCAGGAUUAGGGUGGAGGCGGCAGGGUUGGAAGGAGGAUAAUCCAGUUUCCCAGACCCUCGCUCAAAUGUGGAUUAUUUUUCAGCCUCUGCUCUUCGGGCUAAUCGGGACAGAGAUCCAGGUGGAUAAGUUAGAUCCGGAAACCGUUGGCUUAGGAAUAGGAGUGCUCGUGUGUGGACUUUCUGCGAGACUUGUUUUAUCUUAUAUUUCGGUUCUGGGAGGAGAUGUUAAUCACAGAGAACGCAUGUUUAUAGCAUUAGCUUGGUUACCCAAGGCCACUGUUCAAGCUGCAAUAGGUCCUCUAGCAUUAGACCUGGCAACUCAAGCUCUUAGGAAAGCUGGGAUGGAUGGAGAGAAUCUGCCAGAGUUAAAUGAGCAACUGGAGUUAGCAGAGAAGGUUCUAACCUUGGCUGUUCUUGUAAUUCUCAUCACCGCUCCCAUUGGAGCAGUUGCCAUCAUGGCGUCAGGUCCAAGGCUGUUGACCAAGAUGAACAAACCUCUGCCUUAUGAUAUAAAGGAGGAAGGUGAAGAAAUGUCGGAGAUGAUCAGUUAAAAACAUCCAUCUCAAAGUGAAGCCAUGAAGCUGUGUUAAAUGCCAAAACUCCACCAGACGACAAUUCAAGUGUUGAUUUUUGUUCAAUACGCUGGAAUAUUCCGAAGUCGGAAAAAAACGAUCAGUUUUUUUCCAGGGAUCAGAUUUAAUGAAAAGUGAGAAUUAGCUGAACCGCGAACCAUUUCACAUUUCAACAUGAAGAGAAGUGGUUCAACUUUGUCGACGCUGUUAGUGUUCAACUUCUUCACGCUGAUUAUAUCUGUUCCCAGAUCUUCAAACAAUCUAAAUUUACCGACUGUUAAAUGUUACUUCUUAUACUUCUUAACCAAUAACUGUUACUUGCUGUAAAUCCUUAUCUGCUAAUUGUUACGCUUAUCACUACUUUCCUAAAAACAUUGAACCAUAAUUAGGAUAUUUAGUAAAAAGUACGUUUUGAUUACUUCGUAAAAUUUGCUUAAUUCAAUUCUCUGAGGUCAAAGCUUUUUUGUUAGAAUUAGCACUAUCUUGAUCUGAAUAUAAAUUAUAUUCUGUGACAAUGGUAUUGUGCUGGAUUCCUUGAUUUUUACUUAUUCCUGUCAUGGGUUACGAACACACCAAGGAGUAUGGAAUCCCAGGGAGACACAACCGACGUGGCCUGCCCUACCAUAUGAUUAUAACAUGCUUUGCAGACGGUACUCCUUUUAAAUAAGAAAUAUUCAGAAUAGGUUAUUGUAUACGCGGUAAUUGUACCGCGUCAGUUGUAUCUCUCGUCUAUUCUAUACUCUUUGGAACACACGUUAUUGAUUAAAUCCCUAGGACAGGUAGAGGUUCGGAUUAUUGCUUGAUGAUCCCUUAAUUUUUUCACAACACAAGUUUUGACCUUAGAACUAUGUGCCAGAGCAUUGAUUAACAAGAUAAAGCUUCACUUAUCUACAAUAUAUCAAACUUAUUUUUCCUUCUCUUUGUUUUGAAGAGAUGAAAUGUUUGUUACUGUUCUCUAUAGCAAUACAGACCAAAGCAAUCUUGUACAAUAAUUACUCAACAGGAGCUGUACAGAUGUAAUUUAAAGUGACUCUAUUUACAAAGAAAAUUACACCAACAUUCCCUUAACGAUACGGCAGCUUCUUACGUUUGCUAAACUUUAUUUAAGUUUAAAUAGUAAAACGUCUGCAAUAUAUUUGUUUAAAUAUAUCUAUUUUUUCUACUUGUAAUAAAUUGUUUCCCUUCUGCGAAGGAUA